rnacentral:rRNA from 1 species
UACGAAGGGGACUAGCGUUGUUCGGAAUCACUGGGCGUAAAGCGCACGUAGGCGGAUGUGUCAGUCAGGGGUGAAAUCCCGGGGCUCAACCUCGGAACUGCCUUUGAUACAGUACGUCUCGAGUCCGGAAGAGGUGGGUGGAAUUCCUAGUGUAGAGGUGAAAAUUCGUAGAUAUUAGGAAGAACACCGGUGGCGAAGGCGGCCCACUGGUCCGGUACUGACGCUGAGGUGCGAAAGCGUGGGGAGCAAACAGG